CCUGGCUCAGAACGAACGCUGGCGGCAGGCCUAACACAUGCAAGUCGAGCGGCACCUUCGGGUGUAGCGGCGGACGGGUUAGUAACGCGUGGGAACGUACCCUUUUCUACGGAAUAGCCUCGGGAAACUGAGAGUAAUACCGUAUACGCCCUCCGGGGGAAAGAUUUAUCGGAGAAGGAUCGGCCCGCGUCUGAUUAGAUAGUUGGUGGGGUAAUGGCCUACCAAGUCUACGAUCAGUAGCUGGUUUUAGAGGAUGAUCAGCAACACUGGGACUGAGACACGGCCCAGACUCCUACGGGAGGCAGCAGUGGGGAAUCUUAGACAAUGGGCGCAAGCCUGAUCUAGCCAUGCCGCGUGAGUGAUGAAGGCCUUAGGGUCGUAAAGCUCUUUCGCCAGAGAUGAUAAUGACAGUAUCUGGUAAAGAAA
rnacentral:rRNA from 1 species